rnacentral:misc_RNA from 1 species
AUCUGAGAAAUAAGACAAGCUCUUAUGUUAUAACUGUGGAGGAUCUGUUCAUUUUGCUAGGCUCUCAUGGGUAUCUGAGAAAUGUAUUAUGUAAAGUAGAAGUGUGCAAUCAACAUUUCACAUGAAGCUGAUGAGGAACCCAGAGGAGAUGAGUAUAUUAAUGAAUCACCUUAUCUUUAAAGUUCAAGCUUAAAGGGAAGAUCAGAUAAUUUACCUGGACUAGUGAUAUUAAAUCUGACUUGGAG